CAGAUGCUUCCUUUUUAUAGGCAAGGGAAUGCCUGUUUGCUAGUCAACAAAGCCCAUACUUGCACCAUGCUUAGGUAAGUUGCUUUUCUUGUACUCAAAACUAAAAAUCUCAUGAACUUCCAACAAUUAAUCCAAUGUUAGUAGUAGCAACCAUCAAAUGAUUGGACUUCUUUUCUUUUGAUAAGAAAGAAAUUUCAUUGAAGA
rnacentral:misc_RNA from 1 species